rnacentral:snRNA from 1 species
GUGCUCGCUUCGGCAGCACAUAUAUUAAAAUUGGAACAAUACAGGGAAGAUUAGCAUGGCCCCUGCACAAGGAUGACACGCAAAUUUGUGAAGCACUCCAUACUGGA